rnacentral:rRNA from 1 species
GGGUGAGUAACGCGUGGGUAACCUGCCUUGCACUGGGGGAUAACACUUAGAAAUAGGUGCUAAUACCGCAUAAGCGCACAGAACCGCAUGGUUCGGUGUGAAAAACUCCGGUGGUGUAAGAUGGACCCGCGUCUGAUUAGCUGGUUGGUGAGGUAACGGCUCACCAAGGCGACGAUCAGUAGCCGGCCUGAGAGGGUGAACGGCCACAUUGGGACUGAGACACGGCCCAAACUCCUACGGGAGGCAGCAGUGGGGAAUAUUGCACAAUGGGGGAAACCCUGAUGCAGCAACGCCACGUGAGUGAAGAAGUCAUUCGUGAUGUAAAGCUCUAUCAGCAGGGAAGAAAAUGACGGUACCUGACUAAGAAGCCCCGGCUAACUACGUGCCAGCAGCCGCGGUAAUACGUAGGGGGCAAGCGUUAUCCGGAUUUACUGGGUGUAAAGGGAGCGUAGACGGCGACGCAAGUCUGAAGUGAAAUGCCAGUGCUCAACACUGGAACUGCUUUGGAAACUGUGUAGCUAGAGUGCAGGAGAGGUAAGUGGAAUUCCUAGUGUAGCGGUGAAAUGCGUAGAUAUUAGGAGGAACACCAGUGGCGAAGGCGGCUUACUGGACUGUAACUGACGUUGAGGCUCGAAGGCGUGGGGAGCAAACAGGAUUAGAUACCCUGGUAGUCCACGCGGUAA